GCCAGUGUGGCGUAAUGGUUCGAGUGUUGGACUAGGACUCUGGAAACCAGGGUUCGAUUCCCUGCUCGGCCA